rnacentral:rRNA from 1 species
AUUGAACGCUGGCGGCAGGCCUAACACAUGCAAGUCGAGCGGGGUUUUCGGACCUAGCGGCGGACGGGUGAGUAAUGCGUAGGAAGCUACCCGAUAGAGGGGGAUACCAGUUGGAAACGACUGUUAAUACCGCAUAAUGUCUACGGACCAAAGUGUGGGACCUUCGGGCCACAUGCUAUCGGAUGCGCCUACGUGGGAUUAGCUAGUUGGUGAGGUAAUGGCUCACCAAGGCGACGAUCCCUAGCUGGUUUGAGAGGAUGAUCAGCCACACUGGAACUGAGACACGGUCCAGACUCCUACGGGAGGCAGCAGUGGGGAAUAUUGGACAAUGGGCGCAAGUCUGAUCCAGCCAUGCCGCGUGUGUGAAGAAGGCCUUCGGGUUGUAAAGCACUUUCAGUAGGGAGGAAGCGUUGUGUGUUAAUAGUACACAGCGUUGACGUUACCUACAGAAGAAGCACCGGCCAACUCUGUGCCAGCCGCCGCUGUAAAAC